AUGUACUCGGGCUGCGGGAGGCCCAGACGCCUCACAGGUCCUGCGGGCCCGGGGAUGCCAAGGAGGCUGAGCCCGUGGGGCUGCCCCGAGUCCCUUCUCUGCUCCCCGCGCCGUGUCCUGUUAGCUCCCCAGUGCUUGCACGAAGCCCCCUACCGGGCCGGGCAGGGCACGCCUGCUGCGCCCAGGAGCCUGGCCCCCCGCAGAGGGAGAAGCCGCUGCAUGCCCGACCUCCACUGUCCACCUGCGGGGCACCCGAAUGCACCCCCCUGGGCAGGGCCCCAGCUGCUGUCCUGGCCAGCGCUGAGUCUUGCUGUGCCAGCCACUGGGGUGCACCCCAUGGGGCCACUGCACAGGCGGCCUGAGGCCUCCGCGGCAGCACCAGGGCUCGCUGUGAGACGGGAGAUGAAGGCCUCCAAGACCAGCUGAUCCCCCACUGCAGCUCGGGCCUGGCUGCUGCAGGUGACUGGGGCCCUCGGUGCCCUGUGAGGCCCUGCAGGUCCUUCCAGGACUCCCCAGGUUCCCUAGCCACCCCGCUGCCACUGCCGCUCCACCUGGCUGGCCUCUGCCCUGUGGGUUCUGGAGACCACUUCUGGGGGAAAUCUAUUCAAAACACGCAUCAGGGGCAGCCCGAGUGGCUCAGUGGUUUGGCGCUGCCUUGGGCCCGGGGUGUGAUCCUGGAGACCCGGGAUCGAGUCCCAUGUCGGACUCCCUGCGUGGAGCCUGCUCCUCCCUCUGCCUGUGUCUCUGCCUCUCUCUCUCUCUCUCUCUCUCUGUGUGUCUCAUGAGUAAAUAAAUAAAAUCUUAAAAAAAAAAAAACACGCAUGAGGGGCAGCCUGAGUGGCUCAGCGGUUUAGGGCCACCUUCAGCCCAGGGCGUGAUCCUGGAGACCCAGGAUCGAGUCCCACGUCGGGCUCCCUGCAUGGAGCCUGCUUCCCUCUCUGCCUGUGUCUCUGCCUCUCUCUCUGUGUCUCUCAUGAAUAAAUGAAUGGAAUCUUAAACCACACACACACACACACACACACACACACAUCAGGUCAAACUCUGGCCUAUUGAACCCCCAGGGGCGCUGCCACCUUCUGCUUGCCCCCACCCACCGCCCCAGCCUGGGGAAUGGUGUCUGCCCAAGAGAACGUGCCCGUGCAUCUGUGUGUGGGGACAUCUGCGGAGAGGAGACAGUGAGAGGACACGUUU
rnacentral:lncRNA from 1 species